rnacentral:tRNA from 6 species
GGGGGUAUAGCUCAGUUGGGAGAGCGCUUGAAUGGCAUUCAAGAGGUCAUGGGUUCGAAUCCCACUAUCUCCA